rnacentral:rRNA from 1 species
AAUCCGGGUUGCGGACAGUGUCUGGUGGGUAGUUUGACUGGGGCGGUCUCCUCCUAAAGAGUAACGGAGGAGCACGAAGGUUGGCUAAUCCUGGUCGGACAUCAGGAGGUUAGUGCAAUGGCAUAAGCCAGCUUGACUGCGAGCGUGACGGCGCGAGCAGGUGCGAAAGCAGGUCAUAGUGAUCCGGUGGUUCUGAAUGGAAGGGCCAUCGCUCAACGGAUAAAAGGUACUCCGGGGAUAACAGGCUGAUACCGCCCAAGAGUUCAUAUCGACGGCGGUGUUUGGCACCUCGAUGUCGGCUCAUCACAUCCUGGGGCUGAAGUAGGUCCCAAGGGUAUGGCUGUUCGCCAUUUAAAGUGGUACGCGAGCUGGGUUUAGAACGUCGUGAGACAGUUCGGUCCCUAUCUGCCGUGGGCGCUGGAGAACUGAGGGGGGCUGCUCCUAGUACGAGAGGACCGGAGUGGACGCAUCACUGGUGUUCGGGUUGUCAUGCCAAUGGCACUGCCCGGUAGCUAAAUGCGGAAGAGAUAAGUGCUGAAAGCAUCUAAGCACGAAACUUGCCCCGAGAUGAGUUCUCCCUGACUCCUUGAGAGUCCUGAAGGAACGUUGAAGACGACGACGUUGAUAGGCCGGGUGUGUAAGCGCAGCGAUGCGUUGAGCUAACCGGUACUAAUGAACCGUGAGG